rnacentral:rRNA from 1 species
AAGCGGACAAUCGACCCUUCGGGGGUGUGCGGUCCGUGGAACGAGCGGCGGAUGGGUGAGUAUCACGUGGGCAACCUGCCGUGUAAGAUUGGGAUAACUCGCGGAAACGUGAGCUAAUACCGAAUGAAGUCUUUCACCGCCUGGUGAAAGGAUGAAAGAUGGCUCUUGAGCUAUCACUUACAGAUGGGCCCGCGGCGCAUUAGCUAGUUGGUGGGGUAAAGGCCUACCAAGGCGACGAUGCGUAGCCGACCUGAGAGGUGAUCGGCCACACUGGGACUGAGACACGGCCCAGACUCCUACGGGAGGCAGCAGUAGGGAAUCUUCCGCAAUGGACGAAAGUCUGACGGAGCAACGCCGCGUGAGUGAAUGAAGGUCUUCGGAUCGUAAAACUCUGUUGUCAGGGAAGAACAAGUUGUGUUCUAACAGGACAUGACCUUGACGGUACCUGACCAGAAAGCCCCGGCUAACUACGUGCCAGCAGCAGC